GACGAACGCUGGCGGCGUGCUUAACACAUGCAAGUCGAACGGAAAGGCCCUGCUUUUGUGGGGUGCUCGAGUGGCGAACGGGUGAGUAACACGUGAGUAACCUGCCCUUGACUUUGGGAUAACUUCAGGAAACUGGGGCUAAUACCGGAUAGGAGCUCCUGCUGCAUGGUGGGGGUUGGAAAGUUUCGGCGGUUGGGGAUGGACUCGCGGCUUAUCAGCUUGUUGGUGGGGUAGUGGCUUACCAAGGCUUUGACGGGUAGCCGGCCUGAGAGGGUGACCGGCGAAGGUGGGACAGAGAUGAGGCGCAGAAGCCGACGGGAGGCAGAAGUGGGGAAGAGGGCACAAGGGGCGGAAGCCGGAGGCAGCAACGCCGCGUGAGGGAGGAAGGCCGGCGGGGGGGAGAAAGAGUGCGCAGGUGAAGAAGCGUGAGGGACGGGAAGGGGUAAAGAAGCACCGGCUAACUACGUG
rnacentral:rRNA from 1 species